rnacentral:lncRNA from 1 species
GGGUCGAAUCGGAGCUGUAGCUGCCAGCCUAUGCCAGAGCCACAGCAACGCAGGAUCCAAGCCGCAUCUGUGACCUACACCACAGCUCACGGCAACGCCGGGUCCUUAACCCAUUGAGCGAGGCCAGGGAUCAAACCCGAAACCUCAUGGUUCCUAGUCAGAUUCGUUUCCCUUGCGCCACAAUGGGAACUCCUGGAAAGGCAUUAUUUCAAUGGGAUGGGAUAACCUUAGAAAAUUAGUUAAAUCCCAAGAGCUCAAGCUAGAAGGUGUCACGUUAAGAAACAUAUGCUUACUUGUUUCUUAACCUUAGAGCUGCUCUGAAAAUCCACAGCACAGCUUGGAGACCCCCGGCUUGGCUGGAGGCUUUUUGGGGGAGGUUUCCCUCAGCUUUUCUUGAGCAACUUUUGAACUAGGGCUGCGGAAGCCUGUUUCAAGUGGUCAAGGAAGCCUUGUCAGGUGAAGCCAGUAUUUCCUGCCAAAUUCUGAGAUAAAAAUCAGGAGAUUUUAAAGGUAAUUCAGGGUGUGGGGUGAGUGGAGAACAGGUGUCUCCAAGCCGUUCAACUGGAAAUCUCGGCGUUUGCUUUGUGUACAGGUGGCACCUACCGCUGGCUUCCCCUGAGGUCACAAAGGCACUUUUUUCUCCAGGGCGAACCUUCCCCUCGGCCCUGCUCCUGCGUCCCAGUGGUCACCAUGGCUGGAGGUGGCGGGAGGGGGAACCCUGGCUGGCCCGGCUUCUUCGCUGAGAUCAAAGGAGCUUCUUCCCAGCGCCUUUUACUUCACAUGGGACUGAUGGAGAUAAAACUUAGGAACCUGUGCCCUGCUGGUUUGUUCUCGUAUUCCUUGCACAUUUGCCAGCUUGCGUUUAGAGGAGACCCCGAGGGGGCAGUUGAAGAGCAUUGCUCGCCUCCGGCUGGCCAAGCAGGGCCCCGGGGGUGACCUGGGCCCGAGCUGUCAUUCAAGAAAACUUUGGCACCAAGUAAUGUUCAUUUUCCUGAAAGGAGAUCUGAUCAAGGCAGACAUCUCCUUCACCCCUGCUUGCAAGCAAAUUCUUUUUAAAUUGUGGUCAAAUAUGCAGGACCUACCAUUGACUCUUUGAACCAUUUUAAGUGUACACACAGUUCAGGAGACUUAACCCACCCACAUCCUCGCGGGCUGUGUAGUCACGUAUGGCCUACACCACAGCCACAGCAACGCAGGAUCCUUAACCCACUGAGCGAGUCAGGGAUUGAAGCUGCAUCCUCAUGGAUACUAGUCGGAUUUGUUUCACUGCGCCACCAUGGGAACUUCCUGUCCCUCCUUUUUAAGGCUGAAUAAUAUUCCACUGUGUGUACGACACCGCAUUUGUGUAUCCAUUCAUCCAUCUGUGGUCACGUGGGUUGUUUUCACCUUUUGGCUCUUGGCAGUAAUGCUGCUAUGGACACAGUGUACAGGUAUCUUUUCCUUUCAUUUCUCUUGGCUGUGUACCCAGACGUGGAAUUGCUGGGUCAUCUGGCAGUUCUGUUUUUAAUUUUUUGAGGAAUUGUCAUACUGUGCUCUGUAGCUGCAUUAUUUUGCUCCCCAUCCGACAGCAUGCACGGGGUCCUGCUUCUUUCCAACCUCACCAGGGCAUGUUUUUUCCUCCUUUUUAUGUAGUCUGCCUUUUGAAAACUUCUCAGCACUCGCUUUCGGCAGCCCCAGGGUGUAGGUGUUGCUUAGUUCCUGGAAGCGUGUUGCCAGGUGGGGCCCCGACCCUGUCACUUGCUAAUAAUUAUAGAACAGCUUUGCUUCCAAAUGGAGGUAUCUUCAGAUUUGCAAAUAGAUUCCUCGGUGGAGAGGGUAGGGAAAGAUCUCCAAGCAACUUGUGAUUUUUUGUGGUGGAAAAAUAUACCCGCUGAUCCCGCAAAGGAAAGACCACAGGGCUGGAAGUUGAGGAAUCUGAGUUUGGCUCUGUCUCUGCGGGGGCGGGGGGGGGGGUCGGGGAGCUCAGCCUGCCUGGUAACCUUGAAUUUACUCGUUAAGAGCGGGAGGGCUGCUUUGGUCUUGAGGACAGGAGCACAGAGCGGCGUUUCACUUCAAUUAUUAAAGAUGCUCUUUCGGUUGCUCAGGAUUGAGGCGGGCAGCCUUUAUCUUUGGACGGUUGGAGCUGGAAUUGGACCUUGCGGGUCACCUGGGCCAGUGUCCUCAUCUCACGGACGAGAAGCUGGGCCGCUGAGAUGGGAAUCCCAGGCCGUUGGGAGGUUUUUCUUUCCUAUGAAUAAAACACUGGCCAGCAGGUCCUGAGGCCUUCCCAGGAGCGGGGCUGGCAGAGCCUUGCUGGCGUCCCUGUCACUCGGGGUGACUGUAGCUCAUACACGAGGGCGAUGAAGCUGGGGGAGGACGCCGUGGGGGGUGGGAGCGGGUCUCGACAGAACCAAAGCUGAGGUCCGAUCCGGGAUUGGGAUCUUGGGCAUUUGUUUCCUGGGGCGCUUUUGCUUGUCCUUGGGUUGUCUCAUCUGAAAGGCCUCACACCUACAGCGUUACCGUGAGAGUCACGUGGACACGAGGCCACGUAUCUGAAAGAAAUUGAGCAAAAAUGUCAUUUACACCACGGGCACCGCUGUGCAGCUAGAGGUUUAUGUUUGUCAUGAGUCCAGCGUGUUAAAAUCUAGGUUGACCGUUGCGAUGAUAAUUUCUCUUAUAAAGGGAUUUCCUGGAAGAAGUAUCAGGGUUACAGAUGACCCUUCUCUAUAUUGUUCACCUUUUCAGGAACUGUCCUCCCCUCCCUUGCCCGGGGAAAUUAACGUGCACUGCUAAACAGAGUUAAACUGUGCUGGAUUUUAUGUCGUUAAGUACCGGCCUUUGAUAGCCGAGGCGGCUGCACUGCCAGGUCUGCCCCCACUGAGUGUCUGCCCGCUUCCUCAUCUGAGGGAGGAAGUAUGGUAUUGAUCCAGAGGGCAUCAUUUAAAAUGGUACAGCACGAGUUCUGGCUGUGCCUCAGUGGUAACGAACCUGACGAGCAUCCACAAGGACGCGAGUUCAAUCCCUGGCCUUGCUCAGUGGGUUAAGGAUCCAGCUUUACCAUGAGCAGUGGUGUAGGUUGCAGACGCAGCUCAGAUCCCACAUUGCUGUGGCUGUGGGAUAGGCUGACAGCUGCAGCUCUGACUUGACCCCCAGCCUGGGAACUUCAUAUGUUGCAGGCAUGGCCCUAAAAGCCAAAAAAAAAAAAAAA